rnacentral:rRNA from 1 species
GACGAACGCUGGCGGCGUGCUUAACACAUGCAAGUCGAACGGAAAGGCCCCCAUCUUGGUGGGGGUGCUCGAGUGGCGAACGGGUGAGUAACACGUGGGUGAUCUGCCCUGUACUUCGGGAUAAGCUUGGGAAACUGGGUCUAGUACCGGAUAGGACCAUGGUGUAGUGUCUCAGGGUGGAAAGAUCAUUGUUUUGGUGCAGGAUGCGCUCGCGGCCUAUCAGCUUGUUGGUGGGGUAAUGGCCUACCAAGGCGUCGACGGGUAGCCGGCCUGCGAGGGUGGACGGCCACAUUGGGACUGAGAUACGGCCCAGACUCCUACGGGAGGCAGCAGUGGGGAAUAUUGCACAAUGAGCGCAAGCCUGAUGCAGCGACGCCGCGUGGGGGAUGACGGCCUUCGGGUGGUAAACUCCUUUCGGUAGGGACGAAGCCACGCUUUUUGGGUGUGGUGACGGUACCUUUGUUAAGAAGCACCGGCUAACUACGUG